GACGAACGCUGGCGGCGUGCUUAACACAUGCAAGUGGUGCGACGAACCAGGGCUUGCCCUGGGGCAAAGCCGCGGACGGGUGAGUAACACGUGGGUAAUCUGCCCCGAUGACCGGGACAACCCGAGGAAACUCGGGCUAAUACCGGAUGAUGAGCCUUGGCGUAAGCCUUGUCUCUAAAGGAAGCUUCGGCCUCCGCAUUGGGAGGAGCCCGCGGCCCAUUAGCUUGUUGGUGGGGUAAUGGCCACCAAGGCAACGAUGGGUAGCUGGUCUGAGAGGACGAUCAGCCACACUGGGACUGAGACACGGCCCAGACUCCUACGGGAGGCAGCAGUGGGGAAUCUUGCGCAAUGCGCGAAAGCGUGACGCAGCAACGCCGCGU
rnacentral:rRNA from 1 species